GAGUUUGAUCGUGGCUCAGAUUGAACGCUGGCGGCAUGCCUUACACAUGCAAGUCGAACGGCAGCACGGGAGCUUGCUCCUGGUGGCGAGUGGCGAACGGGUGAGUAAUGCAUCGGAACGUAUCCUGGAGUGGGGGAUAACGUAGCGAAAGUUACGCUAAUACCGCAUAUUCUGUGAGCAGGAAAGCGGGGGACCUUCGGGCCUUGCGCUCUUGGAGCGGCCGAUGUCGGAUUAGCUAGUUGGUGAGGUAAAGGCUCACCAAGGCGACGAUCCGUAGCAGGUCUGAGAGGAUGAUCUGCCACACUGGAACUGAGACACGGUCCAGACUCCUACGGGAGGCAGCAGUGGGAAUUUUGGACAAUGGGGGCAACCCUGAUCCAGCCAUGCCGCGUGAGUGAAGAAGGCCUCGGUUGUAAGU
rnacentral:rRNA from 1 species